rnacentral:lncRNA from 1 species
AGGUUUCUGGCACAUACCCAACACGGGCUGGAGACAGUUCUCCCUCUAGCACUACUCUCAUAUCAGGACUGUAAAACUCUAUUGGAACAUCAGGAUUCCACAGAGAGUCAAGAGGAGAAUUCAGUAGAUUUAUGUUGUUGCUGACAUUUAAGUCUAUGUAAGGACUUUUUUCAGUCCAAUUCUAUUUCCUUAUAUUUCUGAAUCAUUUUAUCUUCUUUCUGGUCCAUUUGUUCCUAGGGUCCCCAAAGACCCUCCUAAAAAUUAGUGAAGCAAAAACUGCCACCAUUGAGGAGAAAAUUAAUUACACAUGGAACUGGAUUAAAAAACACCCACAUGUAUUUAUUUAUUCCCCACUAUUUACUGAGGACCUAAUAUACCCAGGCACUCUUUUCCAUGCUGUGGAUAAAAUGCUGACCAAAAUAAAAAUGCUUCCUGCUCCCAAGAUGUUUUCAAUCUAGCAGGGAAGAAAGUUAAUAAUAAAAUUAUAUCCCACACAAACAAUGUGCUAUACAUGGGGUGUUAUGAACACACACAGCACAAGGAGCCUGUCUGAGAGACCAGGAGGGUGUCCGGAUGAGGUGAGACUUGCACUAAGCUACAAAGAUGGGGAGGAGUUAACUGCAGACUGGGAGAGAGAGGGAGGAAGAACUUAGUAACCACAGGUACAAAGUCCCUAAAAAAGGAGGAAGAAUAACAUAACAAAAAACCCAUCAUCCUCAAAUGUAUUCUCAUAUAUAUUAUUUCUAUGGAUUACUACUUUUUUCAGGUAUGGGCGC